rnacentral:rRNA from 1 species
UACGUAGGGCGCAAGCGUUGUCCGGAAUUAUUGGGCGUAAAGAGCUCGUCGGUGGCUUGUCACGUCGGGUGUGAAAGCUUGGGGCUUAACUCCAGGUCUGCAUUCGAUACGGGCUGGCUAGAGGUAGGUAGGGGAGAACGGAAUUCCUGGUGUAGCGGUGAAAUGCGCAGAUAUCAGGAGGAACACCGGUGGCGAAGGCGGGUCUCUGGGCCGUAACUGACGCUGAGGAGCGAAAGCAUGGGGAGCGAACAGG